rnacentral:rRNA from 1 species
AAAUACCAAGGCGCUUGAGAGAACUCGGGUGAAGGAACUAGGCAAAAUGGCACCGUAACUUCGGGAGAAGGUGCGCCGGUGAGGGUGAAGCAUUUACUGCGUAAGCCCAUGCCGGUCGAAGAUACCAGGCCGCUGCGACUGUUUAUUAAAAACACAGCACUCUGCAAACACGAAAGUGGACGUAUAGGGUGUGACGCCUCCCCGGUGCCGGAAGGUUAAUUGAUGGGGUUAGCUAACGCGAAGCUCUUGAUCGAAGCCCCGGUAAACGGCGGCCGUAACGAUAACGGUCCUAAGGUAGCGAAAUUCCUUGUCGGGUAAGUUCCGACCUGCACGAAUGGCGUAACGAUGGCGGCGCUGUCUCCACCCGAGACUCAGUGAAAUUGAAAUCGCUGUGAAGAUGCAGUGUAUCCGCGGCUAGACGGAAAGACCCCGUGAACCUUUACUAUAGCUUUGCACUGGACUUUGAAUUUGCUUGUGUAGGAUAGGUGGGAGGCUUUGAAGCGAGGACGCCAGUUCCUGUGGAGCCAAUCUUGAAAUACCACCCUGGCAACUUUGAGGUUCUAACUCUGGUCCGUUAUCCGGAUCGAGGACAGUGUAUGGUGGGUAGUUUGACUGGGGCGGUCUCCUCCUAAAGAGUAACGGAGGAGUACGAAGGUGCGCUCAGACCGGUCGGAAAUCGGUCGUAGAGUAUAAAGGCAAAAGCGCGCUUGACUGCGAGACAGACACGUCGAGCAGGUACGAAAGUAGGUCUUAGUGAUCCGGUGGUUCUGUAUGGAAGGGCCAUCGCUCAACGGAUAAAAGGUACUCCGGGGAUAACAGGCUGAUACCGCCCAAGAGUUCAUAUCGACGGCGGUGUUUGGCACCUCGAUGUCGGCUCAUCACAUCCUGGGGCUGAAGCCGGUCCCAAGGGUAUGGCUGUUCGCCAUUUAAAGUGGUACGCGAGCUGGGUUUAGAACGUCGUGAGACAGUUCGGUCCCUAUCUGCCGUGGACGUUUGAGAUUUGAGAGGGGCUGCUCCUAGUACGAGAGGACCGGAGUGGACGAACCUCUGGUGUUCCGGUUGUCACGCCAGUGGCAUCGCCGGGUAGCUAUGUUCGGAAUAGAUAACCGCUGAAAGCAUCUAAGCGGGAAACUAGCCUCAAGAUGAGAUCUCACUGGGACCUUGAGUCCCCUGAAGGGCCGUCGAAGACUACGACGUUGAUAGGUGGGGUGUGUAAGCGUUGUGAGGCGUUGAGCUAACCCAUACUAAUUGCCCGUGAGGCUUGACCG